UUUCGCAAUUCCUUGUGCUUGUGGUUGCAUAUCUCGUCUAAUGUUUCCAAAUGGGAAGUUCCAAGGACCAAACCUUUGCCAGUUAAGUCUCUGAAAAGAAAUGAUACAGUGCAGAUUUCCUCCUACCUGACAAAGGUUAACUCAUGUUGCUGGAACCAUGGAGGAGAUGUGCUUUCAUAUGGAGUUUCUCCAGGUUCGGAUGGAGGAUCUGACCGUUGGCUUGUGAGAGGAGAUCUGAUCUCAAUGGGAGAGUUCGUGAAGCGCAGUCAUGCAUAACAGGGGAAGAAGCUGUCGCACUGUCCCGAGCUCAUCUUCAGCAGAGGAUGGUUGAGAAGGAACUGAGGGGUCAUACCAUAUGCACACAAAACGAGACUCCAAGGUGCAUCCCGACUGAGUAUUGCUACUGAAAAUAUCCGAUCAAUGGUGCCAGGAUGCAACAACACCUGAAGUGGAGUGCUCACAGGGAAGCACUCAAAGAAGAACUACCUCCUCAACCCAUUCCACCAUGCUUCAACCCUCUCUGCCUUCAAGUCCAGGCUUAAAAUUCAAUUCUUCUCAGAGGCCUAAUCCUCCAUAAGAAAAAUUAUACAAAUAAAAGCCAUGGAACAAAUCGAGACACAUGCACUGUUUUUUGUCAGAUACUACUUCCCCAUCCACUGUACUUUAUCUCCUGAUUACACCAUGCUAUACUAAGUGAACAAGGAGGUCACACAAUCAAGUUAAUGUCAGGUAAAUUUAAAAAUCAAUUUAAAAAUUCACUAUUUCGCUAAGACAAAAUCCAGCUGCACUAACAGGGUGUGACAUUCUAUACCUUGGAGGAGCGCCCUGGAACCCCCCUAUUCCUUAUUUUUAUAUAAUCAUGAUCUUACAUCUAAAGCAUGCCUUGUAAGGGGAAAGGUUAUGAUCUGCUGAAAGUCAUUUCUCUAUCCAUGUAUAUCUGAUGUAUAUCUUUAAUGCAUAUGAAGUUAUGAAAAUUGUGUUGAAUGGUUGUCACUAAAACAUGCUGUAAAUUGAGGAAUCAGCCAAAUAUUAGCUCCCCAGAGGCAACAGCAAGGAAAGUAGCCAACACCCAGGUGGGGUGUUAAACAACUCAUCAACAACCAUUGUGCAGCAAUUCAAUGGUUCACCUGCAUGAGGCCACACCAGGGGAGUUGCUCAGUCUUGCCUGGAGACUCAGCAAUGCCCCCAGACAUGCCUGGACUUGUGCUCCCCAAGCACAUAGGAUUGAGGUUAUAAAACAGAACACAGUGGCCACAUGCUGGGUUUUUCUCCUUCACCCACCUACUCCAACUGAGGGGACUGACCCAGAUUUCAAGGGUGAAAUCUGUGAAUUAUGAACUGCACUAUCCAGUGGGGUGAGAAAAACUGCUUAAUCUAGAUGUUGCCCCAUCUAAUAGGGUUGAGAGUUUGGACUGCAUGCUUAUAUUUUAUUUUAUUUUGGUAUCUAACUGACUUUUUGCCUAUCACUUAUAGUUACUUAAUCUAUCUUUUGUAGUCAAUAAAUUUGUUUUACUGUUUAUCUUUACCAGUGAGUAUGUAUGAAGUGUGUGGCAAAUCUGCUCAGGUUUUGCAAAGGCUGGUGUAUAUCGACGUGGUGAACCAAUUAAUAAAUAUGCAUUGUUUGUCUUGA